rnacentral:rRNA from 1 species
GAUGAACGCUGGCGGCGUGCCUAAUACAUGCAAGUCGAGCGAACAGACGAGGAUCUUGCUCCUCUGACGUUAGCGGCGGACGGGUGAGUAACACGUGGAUAACCUACCUAUAAGACUUGGAUAACUUCGGGAAACCGGAGCUAAUACCGGAUAAUAUAUUGAACCGCAUGGUUCAAUAGUGAAAGACGGUUUUGAUGUCACUUAUACAUAGAUCCGCGCCGCAUUAGCUAGUUGGUAAGGUAACGGCUUACCAAGGCAACGAUGCGUAGCCGACCUGAGAGGGUGAUCGGCCACACUGGAACUGAGACACGGUCCAGACUCCUAAGGGAGGCAGCAGUAGGGAAUCUUCCGCAAUGGGCGAAAGCUUGACGGAGCAACGCCGCGUGAGUGAUGAAGGUCGUCGGAUCGUAGAACUCUGUUAUUAGGGAAGAACAAAUGUGUAAGUAACUAUGCACGUCUUGACGGUACCUAAUCAGAAAGCCCCGGCUAACUACGUG